rnacentral:rRNA from 1 species
UACGGAAGGCAGCAGUGGGGAAUAUUGCACAAUGGGCGCAAGCCUGAUGCAGCCAUGCCGCGUGUAUGAAGAAGGCCUUCGGGUUGUAAAGUACUUUCAGCGGGGAGGAAGGCGAUGUGGUUAAUAACCGCGUCGAUUGACGUUACCCGCAGAAGAAGCACCGGCUAACUCCGUGCCAGCAGCCGCGGUAAUACGGAGGGUGCAAGCGUUAAUCGGAAUUACUGGGCGUAAAGCGCACGCAGGCGGUCUGUUAAGUCAGAUGUGAAAUCCCCGGGCUUAACCUGGGAACUGCAUUUGAAACUGGCAGGCUUGAGUCUCGUAGAGGGGGUAGAAUUCCAGGUGUAGCGGUGAAAUGCGUAGAGAUCUGGAGGAAUACCGGUGGCGAAGGCGGCCCCUGGGACGAAGACUGACGCUCAGGUGCGAAAGCGUGGGGAGCAAACAGGAUUAGGAUACC